AGUUUCCGGUACGCAUAUCGUAAUGACACCGGAGCCACAGCUGCCUGCGGGAGAGGCUGAUCCAGGAACAGCAUUCGCAUCACAUAAUUUUUAGCCAGAGAUGGAAGCUCCCUGUGGAAGCGAGAGCAUCGUCUGUCGAUCUACAGCGGUGGGGAAUCAUCAACAACCCAGUGAGGACAAGUGGAGAUCUUUUCUUCUCAUAAUUUGGCACUUUAUUGCUAGUUGUUCAUAUGCUUGCUUUUUCCCCCCCCAACAGUUCUUCGUGUUAGCCGUUCCAAUAACGAUGUCGCUGUAGUUUGGUUUAUAGACAGGUUGGUGAUGCAAAUAGAACAUUGUUAUGUUUUUUGGAGGUGCAAAACGGCAGUUUUCCUUUAAAGUCGUGUCAAAUCUUGCAGGGUUUUUUCACUGUGCCUGUGUUAUGUGUCAAUGCUGGUUUUGCUGUGGUAAUGAUGGCAAUUUCUUUUGAAUUCGUUUUCAUUUUGGCGAAUGUAUUAUUUUAUUUGUAUUGUUGUAAGUAUUUAUUUUUAUCACUAUUGUGUUUAACACGUCACUAAAUUCCAUUACAAUACAAAGGCAUCAUUCAUGGACUAAAUUUGUACCAGUUUGGCCAACAUUUAAGCCCUGGAACCAUUUCAAACUGACAGAUUUGGCACUGGUUUUGGAUAUUAUGUCAAUGAUACAAAACUGUACUUGUAAAUUCCUUAUUUUGUGCAUUUUUUCUGUGACAAAAGCAAACAACAAAACAAAUGCACACAAAAACAGAACCAAACUCAGAAUAGGCAGAGCUGAGAGUGAGAGUGAGAGGAGAGCGCCGGCUCCCACUCCAUGCGAAUCGGCUCUUCUGAUUCACUAAAACCCUUUUGCACAUGACACUUAUGAUAAUGCAUCCAGCAGGAAAUGUCAUCUUACCACAGGCCCCUUCAUUUCAGAGUCCUCACUGCUCUCCAGAAGCACAGAAGACCUGUCCGCUUGAUUGAAGACCACCGUAGAGUGAAUUUCUCGACCUGAAAAUGCUAAACAAAUAUAAAAAAUAUAUAUUUUUUUAAAACAGCAGUUCAGACUGUUGCAAUACUCAAUGAAUUGCACGGUAAAUAAAAACAGACACAAUCAUUUCUCCGGCCGUGAUAGGUUGAAAUGCGUGUUUAUUUUUCUCCUCUCUCUACCGAUCAGGCUGGCCUAAAUGAGUAGAUUGCAGUGUAUUGUUGUGCAAGGUAACAUAGGAGGGAAAAAGAUGCUUGCAAUGCCAAAUGUAGCGCAGUUAACGUCUGGCUAACUGCUGUUUGUUGUCAUAAAAUUGCAGCAUUUGAAUGGAAGGAA